UUGCCUUAUAAGUACGUCUUACGGACAUCGGUUUCCUCUGUGAUAGAAUCUUCUGACGAAGACACGUUGUCGCACAAAAAUACGCUUGAAUAAUGAACCUCUGGCUUAUUCUGUGUGUAGUACUCUCAUGGACAAACGUGUAUGGUUCUCCUGUUGGUGAACCUAUCACCCCGGCUAUUACCUACAGACGUGAAUAUUGUCCGGAAGGAAGAAGUGAAUUGCCUAAUGGACUUUGCAUCAUAAUAAGGGCAAGCAUCGAGCGUUACGUAUUACGUACACACCAAUGGUAAUCCAGUCCCUCACGAUCCCCCGUGUGGUCACCCGGUCGGUCCCCCGUGCAGACCCCCUGCUGGUCCACCGUGCGGUCCCCCAAGCAAACCCCAGCACAAUCCCCUACGUUGUCCCCCGGGCGGUUCCCCAUGUAGUUUCCCGAUCUCUCCCCCGUGCAGACCCCCUGGUGGUCCUCCAUCCGAUCCCCCAAGCAGGCCCCUGAGCGAUCACCCAUGCUGUCCCCCGGGCGAUCAUCCGUGUGCUCAUCCGGCCAGUCCCCCGUGCAGACCACCGGGUCUACCGUGCGGUCCCCCAAACAGGACCCAGCGUGAUCCUUCGUGUUGUACUUCUGGCGGUCCCCCAUGUGAUUAUCCGGCCGGUACCGUAUGUUGUCCCACGGCUGAUCCUCCGCGUGGUCACUCGGUCGGUCCCUCGUGUGGUUUACCCGGCUUGAUAAAUAGUGGAUACUGUCCAAAAGGAACAUUUAAGUUGCCAAAUGGACUUUGUGUUAUGAAGAAUCGGAAAUAGCUAAUGGAAAGAACGAAGAACUUUAUCCAAGAACCACGUAUCGUUAUGCCGGCUGCACAACACGAGCUAAGCUAGGUUUGGUCCGGUUAUAGUACCCAAAAUAAGUGUCUAACUACAUCAUUAUAAGAAAGAAAGAAAGAAAUAAGAUAGAAAAUAUUUAUUUCCAUAUUGGACGCCAUAUUUACAAACUUCAAUUACUUACAGAAAUUAAAAAAAAAACAAAGACAAAAAAGAUAAAUAAUUACAGACAUUAAAUACACAAUGGAGGCGCCCAAAAUAAAAAAUAUAACAUAAUGACAUUAUGUACCUAGGUAAGUACAUAUGUAUAGGUGUCGUGGGCCGAUCGUUAAACUGGGUCGAUCGAGAUCUGCCUGGGCCCAUCAUGAUGUGCCGGCAUUUCGUGUAGAGGUAGGAGUUGAAAAUUUCAAUUCUUAAUUAAUUGAUAACUCUCGGUUACUUCUUAACACGUUAACAGUCCGGUGUACCGUAUGUGGCACACGGGGAGCGGUUCCGCCGAGUUCGUGUACCCUAUGAGGUACACGAGACCAGUGCAGCUUUAUGGGCUGUCAAAUCACGGACUCGUAAAAUUUGUUGAUAUUUUCAUAAAGGACUUGUAGCCAAAGACCUUAUAAAUAGAAAAAGUCAAAAACAUGUCACAUUGAAUAACAAACGAAAGCCAAAAAAUAUAAUAUCUCAUUUGGACAUAUGGCAUGUUUUGAAACGCUUGUAUGGGGACUGUUAACGUGUUAAUGAUGUAAGUACGUACUACGUACACAAAUCACUUCACGCCGCCGGCGCGCCGCGGGCGCCGACCCUAAAAAGCCGGCGUGCCGCCGCCGGCAAAGGGUCGGCUCCGACAUCUAAUUUCAUGAUGUGCCCAAUUUACACACACACAUUCACAAUUCAAUUAAAUUUAUUCACAUUUAUUGUAAAACCUUUAUAGUACCAUGUUUUAUGAGCAUGUAAAUAAUUUUUGAAUUUUGUUUUUUUUUUUAAAUUUAGCAGAUCGAUGAGAGCAACGCGUAGGUACCAACCUGCUUACAUUUAAAUUUUCUAUACGAAUGUCUUAGACACGGUAGUUGUCACAAACUAUGAAAUAAAACAAUUAAAUUAGUUUUAAAUAUACAUUUUUAUUUUCGCAUUUGAAGUUUUUCAUCAAUAAACCUGCGAAUCAUUUCACUCUCAGCAAACGAUUGGCACUAGGAAGAUUAAUUAAGUACUUAACAUGCAAUUAUUUGUGAAUAUGAAAAAAUAUAAUAUCUCAAAAAUAAAAUAUUAUAGAUAUGGAGUCAAAAUGUUGCCUAGAAAAGAUUGCUACUUAGCUAUAAGGCCGCCUAUUCUACUCUUCUAUUUCUCUUUUGUUUGUAAUAUUGUACACUGGCCUGCAAAACUAAGUAGAUAUGUAGAUAAAAUACUUUGUUGAUCACAAUGGACACAAGAACUAAAUACUAGACUAUUUUAAACUUACAUUCAUACAUAAAUUCACGCCUUUUUUCACCGGGGUAAGCAGAGACUAUGGAAUUCCAUUUACUUCGAUCCUGAAAUAUUUCUCUUGCUUCCUCCACAUUCAUCCAUCGUUUCAUACACGCACGUCGGUUCAGAGUAGAACUACUGUUUUUUUUCUAAGGACAUCUAAUUUUUUUUAAUCGUGAUUAGUAAUUUAAAAUGAAAAAAUAUGUUUUAACUAUAAAUCAUAAAUAUAGCGUCAAAGAAUUCUUAUCUCAAAAAUAUUGAAUUGGAAAAUGUGUUGAUAAAGUGCGUUGAUGAUUUCUUUCAUUUUGUUGUAAGAAUGACUAAAUUAUGUAAGUGACGAAAUUAUUUUAUUUGAUUAUUAUAAUAGUAUACUUAAUGUAAUGACCAUUCACAAGUACAUGACGUGACAUACAAGUACACGUAAAUUGUAACAAUAUUUUGUUUUAGGUUUACGCGGUUAUUGUCAUAAUUAAAACACAUAAUAACGGGUUCUUACCGCGUUUAAAUCAGACUUAUUAGACUCCCGAUAUUUCGACACUGUUUCAAGUGCCAUAAUCACAGGAUGACUGAUGAGAUUUAUUAUUUAUUAUGGAUCUACCUACUCCACUCCAAUCUCAUCAGUCAUGUGUCGAAAUAUCGGGAGUCUCAUAUCCCUGAUACGCGGUAAGAACCCGUUAUUAUGUGUUUUAAUUGUAACAAUAUUUGCAUGCUAUUGUUGAAAGCUGAUAAGAAGGAACUUCUAUGAACAUCCAUUUAUUAAUGUAAGUACUCUUUUCAAAGGCAAAUAAAGAGUAUUUCUAUUUUCUAUACAUAAUUUCACACACAUAAAUAAAUGAUUAUGAAUUAUGAAUUCCAUCAGUUUUCUUUGUAAGUAUUAAACUAUACAAUAGUAACAUUUCGAGUCCUUUUUAUUUCGAAAGUUUAUAUUGUGCACUAUAAUUUGAAAAGUGUAGUAAGUACUUACAUAGUUUUAGUUUACAUUAUUUAGUGGCCCCGAUUCCUGUAGACACUCCCUAAUUUUAUUUAAAGUUAAACCCGUCAUUUUCUUAUCCGCCGAUAAGUUAUCGGAAUAUUCAAUAAACAAUGUGUAACUAUCUAUUUUCGCUUCGUGCCAAGAAGCCGCUUAAAUUAAUAACUGAUUUGUGCAAGUCCAGUACCGGGUUUCGAUUCCCCGAUUGAGAAGCAAACCGGUGAACCACAGGACCACAAUGACUGUCAAUGACACUUUUCCGAUCAGGAUGUUUUCCUGAUUGGAAAAAUGUCAUGAUGACUAUAGGAUAUUUUGUAGGAAUAUUCUAUUUGUUUUAAACUUAACACCACCACAGUUUGAUGUGAUUCACGACAUGACAUCACAUAAUAUUUAAGAUCACUGUUUUUAAAUUAGCAUUAUACAAACAAUAAAGAAUGCUUUUUCGCUAAUGUAAUGUACACACAUGCAACAUACACAAUGGUAAUGUAAUGCAAUGUGUAAUGUAAUGUGUUGUAACACAUAUUAUUUAAGAUAACUGUUUUUAAAUUAGCAUAAUACAAUAAUUCUUCGCUAAUGUAAUGUGUGCGUGUGUAUGUGUGUGUGUAUGUAAUGUAAUGCAAUGAGUAAUGCAAAGUGUAAUGUAAUGUAUAAUGUAAUGUGUGGUAACCUCAUCAUAAUAAAUACCUACGAACGCCAUCUAUUUAAUAGA
rnacentral:lncRNA from 1 species